rnacentral:rRNA from 1 species
CCUACGGGAGGCAGCAGUAGGGAAUUUUCGGCAAUGGGGGGAACCCUGACCCAGCAACGCCGCGUGAACGAAGAAGUUAUUCGUAAUGUAAAGCUCUUUUAACAGUGAAGAAAGAGCAGUUUCACGGUACCUGAAGAGUAUGCCCCGACUAACUACGUGCCCGCAGACGCGGUAAUACGGAGGGUGCGAGCGUUAUCUGGAGUUAUUGGGCGUAAAGGGUGCGUAGAUGGAAUAUGAAGUCUUUGGUAAAAAUGCGGGGCUCAACCCAGUAGGGCAAAAGAUACUGUCAAUCUAGAGUGUGAGAGAGGCAAGUGGAACUAGUGGUGUAGCGGUAAAAUGCGUAGAUAUAAGUAAGAACACCAGUGGCGAAGGCGGCUUACUGGGUCGAUACUGACGUUGAGGCACGAAAGCGUGGGGAGCAAACAGGAUUAGAUACCCCUGUAGUC